rnacentral:rRNA from 1 species
CCUACGGGAGGCAGCAGUGGGGAAUAUUGCACAAUGGGGGCAACUCUGAUGCAGCGAUGCCGCGUGCGUGAAGACGUCUCUCUGUAUGGAAAGCUCCAUUAGUAGGGGAGAAAAUCACGGUACCUGAUUAAGAAUCCCCGGCUCAUUCCGUGCCAGCAGCCGCGGUACCACGCAGGAGGCAAGCGUUAUCCGGAUUUAUCGGGUGUAAAGGGAGCGUAGACGGGAGCACAAGUCCGUGGUGAAAUGCCGGGGCUUAACCCCGGAACUGCUUUGGAUACUGUGGGGCUAGAGUGCAGGCGAGGUAGGUGGAAUUCCUGGUGUAGCGGUGAAAUGCAUAGAUAUUAGAAAGAACACCGAUGGCGAAGGCAGCUUACUAAACUGUGACUGACGUUGAGGCACGAAAGCGUGGGGAGCAAACAGGAUUAGAUACCCGGGUAGUC